rfam:Pirellula sp. SH-Sr6A, complete genome.
CCCAGCCCUAAAGGGCUGGGCUAUUUUAUGCCGUCCCUAGCGGGACU